GGUUCUGCAGUGCAGAGAAGCCAAGGGGAGCAGGGAAGUGCUCCAAGCAAAGGGCCCACAGUCCACACCCAGGGACGCACAGAGCAAGAAGGGCCACCAGAGGGUCAAGCAAGGAGCCAGGCCAAGGUAUGAAGAUCCAAGGUCCAGGGCUUGGGCAGUGGGCUCAGGACAGUGGACAGGGCUGGGGAGGGAAGGCUGGGGAUCCAGCAGUGGGGAGCCAGGCUCAAGUGCUAGCACCAUUGCCAGGUGUCAUGGUUCUGGGUGCAGGACCAAGGGCCCAGGGAGAGCAAGGGGCCCAGGUGAGGGGAAGGGCUCUGUUUCCCACAAGGUGCUCUGAUCCAGAUGAGAAUCAAGGGCCAGGGACUGGUCCCAGGGGUC
rnacentral:lncRNA from 1 species